UACGUAGGGUGCAAGCGUUAAUCGGAAUUACUGGGCGUAAAGGGCUCGUAGGUGGCCAACUAAGUCAGACGUGAAAUCCCUCGGCUUAACCGGGGAACUGCGUCUGAUACUGGAUGGCUUGAGUUUGGGAGAGGGACGCGGAAUUCCAGGUGUAGCGGUGAAAUGCGUAGAUAUCUGGAGGAACACCGGUGGCGAAGGCGGCGUCCUGGACCAACACUGACACUGAGGAGCGAAAGCCAGGGGAGCAAACGGG
rnacentral:rRNA from 1 species